rnacentral:rRNA from 1 species
UACGUAGGGUGCAAGCGUUGUCCGGGAUUAUUGGGCGUAAAGAGCUCGUAGGCGGUUUGUCACGUCGGUUGUGAAAAUCCGAGGCUCAACCUCGGACCUGCAAUCGAUACGGGCAGGCUAGAGUUCGGUAGGGGAGACUGGAAUUCCUGGUGUAGCGGUGAAAUGCGCAGAUAUCAGGAGGAACACCGGUGGCGAAGGCGGGUCUCUGGGCCGAUACUGACGCUGAGGAGCGAAAGCGUGGGGAGCGAACAGG